UGAGCAACCUGCCCCUAACUCUGGGAUAACCCCCGGGGAAACCGGAGCUAAUACCGGAUACGAGACCGAGUGGCAUCACACGGUCUGGAAAGUUUUUCGGUUAGGGAUGGGGUCGCGGCCUAUCAGCUUGUUGGUGGGGUAAUGGCCUACCAAGGCGACGACGGGUAGCCGGCCUGAGAGGGCGACCGGCCACACUGGGACUGAGACACGGCCCAGACUCCUACGGGAGCA
rnacentral:rRNA from 1 species